rnacentral:rRNA from 1 species
UACCAGCACCCCGAGUGGUCGGGACGAUUAUUGGGCCUAAAGCAUCCGUAGCCGGUCUUGCAAGUCUUCCGUUAAAUCCAGCUGCUUAACGGAUGGGCUGCGGAAGAUACUACAAGACUAGGAGGCGGGAGAGGCAAGCGGUACUCAGUGGGUAGGGGUAAAAUCCUCUGAUCCAUUGAAGACCACCAGUGGCGAAGGCGGCUUGCCAGAACGCGCUCGACGGUGAGGGAUGAAAGCUGGGGGAGCAAACCGG